rnacentral:lncRNA from 10 species
ACUCCCCCCCGCCCCGUAGCCAUCUGGACCUCUGCAGCUAGUUUCUGUCUUGGGAGGUCCCCUGGGCUUUCCACCAUGGCCCUAGCUCUGCUCCAGGGCCAGAGCCUGAGUGGGCACCCAGCACAGAUGCUGUGCUUGGGCGAGGUGUGGGCAAGUGUGGCCACUCUACAGGAGGGCUGAGCCAAGGCCAUGGGAAACGUCUGUUCACCGUACUCCAGGUGCCUAUGCCUCACUCUGGGCGCCUGCCCAGCUCCCUUCCAGCCCCCGCUUCCCUGCUGUUCACCCCCCUACUCUGGCUUAUCCACAGACUUGAAGGCUCCAUUAGGGCAAAUCCCUCCAGAAAGCCUUUCCCACCCACAGGGCACCCAGGCCAGGCCCAGCUGGAGCUCCUGGACUGUGCUUCAGGAGGCAGCACAGCAGCGCCUCUGGGACCAGCAGUGUCAGACCACUGUCUUCACCUGCUCCCCUCACGGUGUCCUGAUGUGUGGCUGGCCCCUUGCUGCCCCUGAGCAGUAACCUGCAGGGGUUUGUUCAGGGAGCAGUGGUCACCAGAGCGCCCAGUUUCUGACCACAGCCUCUAGAAAUGUCACUCAGGCCCAACGAGCUCCAUCUAGAGUCAGGUAUAAAUGUUGCCCACAUCUGAUGCUUUAAAUGCCAGGGGCUCAGUGCUCCCAGGAAAUGCUGGCUUCCUGCCAGGAAGGCAGGCCCGCAGGGUGAGGCAGGCAGGGCAGCUCCCACAGUGUGGCCAGCUACCCAUUGUCUCCAGGCAGCUACCAGGGGCUCGUCCACCAGGAGGCGGGCACCUGCUCAGGGCCCUCAGCAGCAUCAAGGUCUGGAUGCCGGAGCUCAGGAGGGGCUGGGGAGAGUGGCGUCUGUCUUUGCUCGGCCACUGACACGCGAGCCAGCCGUCUGGGUGAUGGGAUUUUUCCCUGGUGUUGAGAUGCUACCCUCCCCUCUACUCAAGGAGAGAGAAGAGAAUAGGAGGUGACUUUGAGUCCUCACAGCAAUGCAGUGAAGUAGAAAAUUGGCCCUAUUAUCCAUAUUCAGAGGAGAAACGGAGGCUUGGAGAAAUUGGGUGGGAACAGCAGUGCGUCCUGAUGACCCUGUUGAGUUUUCUCGCCACAGCUAUGGAAUUCUGCUGAUUUUUGACCUGGAGAGAAAAUGCCACCAGGCUAUCAAAGGAGCAGAGGAGACUGAAAUGGGUUUCCCAUGAUGAAAGGAAGCUUGUCUGUCUGUCUCAACCAUUAAUCCUGGCAAAGGCUUAGGCUCCUGCUGAGUCCCCAGUAGGGAUAGGAGCUCAUGAAUGCCUGAGCCACAUCUGCCACCUGUUGGCUAAGUAGGAUCUGCAAAUGGCAUUCUUAUCUCAAAAUGAAUUGGCAUGAUUAUUCAGUUCUGUUCUCCAAUCUCUGUGUAACCAGCACUGGGCAUCUUAUCUGUAAAACAUCUGACUUGACUGUCAGGCACACUGAGUGACAGAGGCUGACCUGUCGCGGGGGCUCUAGUAUCCCCACCACUACCCACUUCUCUCAAUUGAGUUACAUUUGCUGAACCUGGUCCCAAACUGACAGAUUCCCAUUGUACUUGUUAUUGUAAUUACAUCAUUUAAUAUGAAGUAGACUCAUGAAUUACAUGAAUUAUGAACAUGAAAAGGUAGGGAAUUGAUUCAUCGAAACCCUAGAAUGCUUUAGACAGACUCAGUAGAGGCACGUUGCUAAAAAAUAUUGUCAAAUUAAGCAUGGAUGAGUGAAACAUGCAAUAGCGAGAAAUGGGAAGAAUCUGGGAUUCUGCUCUCAGAAUACUUCAACAGUGUCGUAAAACUUGUGUUUGACUUUAAAGAAAUACUGGAAAUUGUGAAUGUCUCACUAAAAAAACAAAGAGUUGUCUUAUGUUAAAAGAAUAACAAAUGAAUGCACAUGUUCUUUAAAGUUAAAAUACAAUUUUAUGGGUAUGUGUGUGUGAGAAACAGAAAUAGAAAGAAAAGGAAG